AGAGUCAGAGGACGUGAAACCGGUAGGAUGGAAACGGAUAGAGCCAACGAACAAGCCCGUAUUCAGCUAGUCGGCUGCGUGCGGCAUGCCUGUGUGCUCGUUCAGGGUGCAUGGGUGUGUGCGGUAUGCGGUCGGCUAGUGCAUUUGCGGGUGAUGUGCGCUGAGGCGUGUGGCGGAGUCCUGCCAACUGUCUGGAGAGGCCUCGCCUUCGGGCUUGAAACCUACAGGCGGGGAGUAGGGUUUCUGCUGCAUGUAGACGAAGCGACUAGGUGCAAACGCGCUGUCGUGCUGCCGGGCUAGCUGCUUGGCCGGUCGCAUGCGACUAGGUCUUGUUGGUUGGUCUUGGUGGUGCGGCAGUGCCCUGGUCGACCCUCGGUGUAAAAGUUGGUCAUCUCUCCGACCCGUCUUGAAACACGGACCAAGGAGUCUAGCGUAUACGCGAGUCAUUGGGUGGAAAACCCAUAGGCGAAAUGAAAGUGAAGGUCUCUUUAUGAGGCUGAUAUGCGAUCCGUUGCACUACGGUGUACGCGGAGCAGCAUAGCCCCGUCUCGACUGCUUGCAGUGGGGCGGAGGUAAAGCGUAUUCGCUGGUACCCGAAAGAUGGUGAAC
rnacentral:rRNA from 1 species